GUUAAACGGCCGCGGUAUUUUGACCGUGCAAAGGUAGCGCAAUCACUUGUCUUUUAAAUGAAGACCCGUAUGAAUGGUAGAACGAGGGCUUAACUGUCUCCCCCUUCUAGUCAAUGAAAUUGAUCUACCCGUGCAGAAGCGGGUAUAAUAAUACAAGACGAGAAGACCCUUUGGAGCUUAAGACAAAAGACCAACUAUGUUAAAAGUACCACAAAAGAAACUAAACCAAAUAGCACUGAUCUCAAUCUUCGGUUGGGGUGACCACGGGAGAAAAUAAAGCUCCCAUGCGGACAGGGGCAACCCUCUAGAACUAAGAGAGCCAUCUCUAAGGCACAGAAUAUCUGACCACAAAGAUCCGGCUAUAUACCGACCAACGGACCAAGUUACCCUAGGGAUAACAGCGCAAUCCCCUUUCGGAGUCCAUAUCGACAAGGGGGUUACGACAUCGAUGUGGAUCAGGACAUCCUAAUGGUG
rnacentral:rRNA from 1 species